rnacentral:rRNA from 1 species
GACAGAGGGUGCAAACGUUGUUCGGAAUUACUGGGCGUAAAGCGCACGUAGGCAGCAGCGUGUGUCGGGCGUGAAAUCCCACGGCUCAACCGUGGAAGUGCACUCGAAACUGCGCAGCUAGAGUCUCGGAGAGGAAGGCGGAAUGCUUGGUGUAGAGGUGAAAUUCGUAGAUAUCAAGCGGAACACCGGUGGCGAAGGCGGCCUUCUGGACGAUGACUGACGCUGAAGCGCGAAAGCGUGGGGAGCAAACAGG